rnacentral:lncRNA from 1 species
GCUAUACUCUGCCUUGUCCCGGGAUGGACCUGAGCCCUAGGACCAUGCCUCAGGACUACCUGGCUUGAUGACUCCUUGCUGUCCCCAGUCCACCUGGCCGUGCUGCUGCUCCAGUUCUAACUGUUCUCUCUGCGGCUAUGGAACCCUGACCUGUUCACCGGACGUGCUACCUGUCCCAGACCUGCUGUCUGGGCAGUAGUAAUAACCAGAUUAAAUCGGAGUUCCCAGUUGUCUUGAAAGCACCAUCAAUCCAGAGAAUGCCAGACUUUGAUGACAACAUUUUGACAAAAUGUGCCCACAAGGACCGCAGCACCACCUUCCUGUUCAAGUGAGCAUAGCACAAGGAUGGCAGCCCACCUGUUGACCCGGUUUCCAAGCACCAUCUCGCCAGCAGGAUGUUUGUGGCACAGCUCAACAAAAAUGGCCUCUACUAUCCUGCUGGUGUUGGGCCACUGAGCAGGUCCAGAGACUUGCCCAAGCAGGGAGCUGAAGUUGAGGUCUUAGAAUUUUUUGAAGCGCCUCUGCAGGACUAGGUCCAGGAACCUCUCGGGGUAGGAGACUGCUGCCUUGUCUCUCUCUGGAAGAUUUCCCCAGAGAGCCAUGAUCUCCUCUAUGUGCCUACUGGAGACCCAUGGCCCCUCCAGCAGCCGCACCAGACUCUUGGCCAGGAGGACCACAUGCUGGUAUCCACCCCAUCAGGUCCUAUGUACUCCUGGAAAUAGAAGAGUCAUGGGGAAGGGUUGGAUUAAUAGUCAGCUUAAUAGUUAAUGAAUGGAAAGAAACUUAAGCAAUGAGAGCUGUUUAGGAUGUGGAAAGGCACUUAAGUCAUCCACUGUGUCCUGACUGGCAGCGGGUGCAGUGUCCACCUCCUCAGUAGUGUCAUCAGGGGGUGGGAUGACAGGUACCUGGGAUGGGUUGUGUUGAGAGGGCUCAGUGGGCGGUGGAGUGGCCUUCCUGAGUGGAGGGACUGGUGGGAGACUGUCAUUGAGGGCGUGCAAGGAGAUGGUGGGGGAAUCCUCCUCCUCAAGCGCUACCAGGUCGUCCUCCUCUCACUCUCCUCCCUCAAAUAGAUUUUUUAUUUACUUUAUUUGUUAUUUCACCUUUAUUUAACCAGGUAGGCUAGUUGAGAACAACUUCUGAUUUACAACUGCGACCUGGCCAAGAUAAAGCAAAGUGGUUCGACACAAACAACACAGAGUUACACAUGGAAUAAACAAACAUACAGUCAAUAAUACAGUAGAAAAAGUCUGUGUACAGUGUGUGCAAAUGAGGUAAGAUAAGGGAGGUAAUGCAAUAAAUAGGCCAUGGUGGCAAAAUAAUUACAAUAUACCAAUUAAACACUGGAGUGAUAGAUGUGCAGAAGAUGGAUGUGCAAGUAGAGAUACUGGGGUGCAAAGGAGCAAGAUAAAUAAAUAAAUACAGUGUGGGGAUGAGGCAGUUGGAUGGGCUAUUUACAGAUGGGCUAUGUACAGGUGCAGUGAUCUGUGAGCUGCUCUGACAGCUGGUGCUUAAAGCUAGAGAGGGAGAUAUGAGUCUCCAGCUUCAGAGAUUUUUGCAGUUCGUUCCAGUCAUUGGCAGCAGAGAACUGGAAGGAAAGACUACCAAAGGAGGAAUUGGCUUUGGGGGUGACCAGUGAGAUAUACCUGCUGGAGCACGUGCUACGAGUGGGUGCUGCUAUGGUGACCAGCGAGCUGAGAUAAGGCGGGGCUUUACCUAGCAGAGACUUGUAGAUAACCAGUGGGUUUGUCGACGAGUAUGAAGCGAGGGCCAACCAACGAGAGCGUACAGGUCACAAUGGUGGGUAGAGUAUGGGGCUUUGGUGACAAAACGGAUGGCACUGUGAUAGACUGCAUCCAAUUUGUUGUGUAGACUGUUGGAGGCUAUUUUGUAGAUGACAUCGCCGAAGUCGAGGAUCGGUAGGAUGGUCAGUUUAACGAGCGUAUGUUUGGCAGCAUGAGUGAAGGAUGCUUUGUUGCGAAAUAGGAAGCCGAGUCUAGAUUUGAUUUUGGAUUGGAGAUGCUUAAUGUGAGUCUGGAAGGAGAGUUUACAGUCUAACCAGACACCUAGGUAUUUGUAGUUGUCCACAUAUUCUAAGUCAGAACCAUCCAGAGUAGUGAUGCUGGACGGGCGGGCAGGUGCAGGCAGCGAUCGGUUGAAGAGCAUACAUGUCACGAUCAUCAAAAGGGGGGGACCAAAGCGCAGCGUGGUAAGUGUUCAUUGUUGUAUUUAUUUUAAAUCAGAACACUACAAACAAAAGAAUAAACAAUGAUAACGACCGUAACGUCUUGCAGGCUUAACAAGCAGUACAAAAAUAAGAUCCCACGACUACAGGUGGGGAAAGGCUGCCUAAGUAUGAUUCCUAAUCAGAGACAACGAUAGACAGCUGCCUCUGAUUAGGAACCAUACUCGGCACAACACAAAGAAAUAGACACCAUAGAAUGCCCACCCCACACCCUGACCUAACCACAUAGAGAAACAAACCGUCUCUCUCAGGUCAGGGCGUGACAAUGCAUUUAGUUUUACUUGCAUUUAAGAGCAGUUGGAGGCCACGUAAGGAGAGUUGUAUGGCAUUGAAGCUCGUCUGGAGGUUAGUUCAUGUAGUGUCAAAGAAGGGCCAGAAGUAUACAGAAUGGUGUCGUCUGCGUAGAGGUGGAUCAGAGAAUCAGGUGUCCCGUCUGGGACAUCCAGGUCCUUACCGAGGUUGGACUCCAGCUUCUGGUCACCAUCGGUCUGGAAAAAGAGAUACUCGACCCCAAUGAGUUUCCCUUAAACAGAGAGACAAAAAAGAGAGUAGUACAUAAACAGAACCGCACAUGUUUUAUUGUGUGUGUAUAAUUGUAUAAGACUGCAGCCCAUGAGCUUCUGGCUCAGCUCAUUGAUGAUGUACUGGGCCACACACUCAUAGCAGUGCAGGGUCUGCUUCUACCCCUCCUCCGCUACACCAUCAUAGCAGUGUAG